rnacentral:lncRNA from 1 species
CAAGAUCCGACCUCGUCUUCAGUUUUCCAGCCUCCUCCUCCUCCUCCAACAACGGCAAUCGGUAUGGAGCAGUUCGACCUACUGGUUCAGCAUGUCAGAGGCCUCACCGAAGCAGUGCAAGCCAUGCAGUAGCAGCAUCAACAGCCGUAGGUAUCAGUGCGGUUGGAAAGAGCAACGUCGGAGUUUCAAAAUCUGACAAUAGG